rnacentral:rRNA from 1 species
GAGUUUGAUCGUGGCUCAGAGUGAACGCUGGCGGCAGGCCUAACACAUGCAAGUCGAGCGGCAGCGCAGCAGUAGCAAUACUGUGGGCGGCGAGCGGCGGACGGGUGAGGAACACAUCGGAAUCUACCCUGUCGUGGGGGACAACGUAGGGAAACUUACGCUAAUACCGCAUACGACCUUUGGGUGAAAGUGGGGGACUCGCAAGAGCCUCACGCUAUUGG